rnacentral:rRNA from 1 species
GAUGAACGCUGGCGGCGUGCCUAAUACAUGCAAGUCGAGCGAACGGACGAGAAGCUUGCUUCUCUGAUGUUAGCGGCGGACGGGUGAGUAACACGUGGAUAACCUACCUAUAAGACUGGGAUAACUUCGGGAAACCGGAGCUAAUACCGGAUGAUAUUUUGAACCGCAUGGUCCAAAAGUGAAAGACGGUCUUGCUGUCACUUAUAGAUGGAUCCGCGCUGCAUUAGCUAGUUGGUAAGGUAACGGCUUACCAAGGCAACGAUGCAUAGCCGACCUGAGAGGGUGAUCGGCCACACUGGAACUGAGACACGGUCCAGACUCCUACGGGAGGCAGCAGUAGGGAAUCUUCCGCAAUGGGCGAAAGCCUGACGGAGCAACGCCGCGUGAGUGAUGAAGGUCUUCGGAUCGUAAAACUCUGUUAUUAGGGAAGAACAGAUGUGUAAGUAACUGUGCACAUCUUGACGGUACCUAAUCAGAAAGCCACGGCUAACUACGU